CUAGCGUCGCACCCAUCCCAGGAAGCUGCAGUGGACCGGAGGGGCAGGAGAGCUGAGAGAAAUCCACCCGACCCUGGCCGAUGCCGCCCGAGCCUCCGGACCCCGAGAGGGUUUGGGAAUUCCAGGUCAUCCGCGGCCGGCCCUUCUCUUAACUUGGCGAGAGAGGGAGGCCUUGGGGAGGCACCAAAGGAUGUUCUCCCGUCCGCCCUCCCUUCCUUCCUGUCUUCCCGCAGAAGGUCAGGCCGAGGCGAGCGCAGCCGACAAGGAGGCGGGAGCCAGCCCCGAGGGCAGCGAGGGCACCACGGCGUCCUGAGGGGCCUCUUCCGCCUGCCCGGGGAGAGGAAGAGAGAGAAUGACCCGCAGAGACCGCCCAGGACGAUAGCUCUCCCCACCCGCCGUCCCCGACCCCCUCUCCCCGGCCUCCCGACCCCGCGGGCACCCUCGCCCGAGCGCUGGACUGGCACGAUGAGCCGGCGCUCCCGAGGCACCGCCGCCGGGGCGGACCCGGAGACCUCGCCGCCGAGUCGCGGCCGCCGAAGCCUCCAAAGGACUGCCUCCACCGCCCACCCACGGGCCACCGCGGCCCGCGGGAGGCCAGCCGAGCGGGGCGGCCUACCCCCGGGACUUGCCCCGAGCUCAGAGAUCCUUAUUUCUGAAGACGUUUCUCAGUUCCUUUCUCACGGGAAGUCUUCCGUGCUAAAAACCUUCAGAGUGACUCUCCGCCCUUUCGUCACGGAUAAACGAAUCCUGCCACCCGGCGAAUAAAUCCAGAUGUUUGUGUGAUCCGUCCCGGAGGCCGUUCUUUUCCCCUUAAAGUGCGAGGUGAGGGGGUGGCGAGGCCAACUCGAAGCGGGUAGAGAAAGUGGUUGGAAGGGCCGGCUCUUCUGCCCCUGGUCCUGAAACUCCCCAGCCUGGCCCCGGGGGAUUGUGGAGGAAGGGCAGACGGCCCCAGUAUCGUGCCUUUGACCGUAGUCGGGGGAGAAUCGGUUUGUUUUUUUCCUCUCUAGCUUUCCUCCGCAAAGCCUGCAAUCGAUCACCUUGGGCUUGAGGCCCCUCGGCUGCUCAGGAGGUGAGAUUGCUUGGUCAGGUAUUCCGCCGCUUGUCUGCCGUGCGACUUGGGGAAAGUCACUUUGUUUCUCUGUGCCUCAGUGACCUCGUCUGUAAAAUGGGGAUCGAGACCGUGAGCCCCCCGUGGGACAGGGGCAGUGUCCAACCUGAUUUGCUUGUAUUCACCUCUGUGCUAAGUACAGUGCCUGGCACAUAGUAAGCGCUCAACAAAUACCAUAAUAAUAAUUAUUAUUAAGGGGGCUCACAAGGGCUCCUGGGGGUUCCCUGGGGAAAUGGGAGCACUGUUUUUCAGGGGCCCCAUCAACAUCAGCCUGGCUCUUAAAGUGUUCCUUGACUCACCUUAUCUCCCCCACCCUAUUUUUCCUCUCUCGCCUAUACCCUUGACUCUUCACCCCCUAAGCACUUAGGUAUUCAUCCUUAUCUUCAGUUGCUCCCCCCCACCUUUAAUUUAUUUUUGUGUCUGUCUCCCCUACAUUGUAAACUCCUCGAGGGCAGGGAUCUUGUGCCCAUGGGAGAGUAUAAUUAGAGAAUACAGACACAAGCCCUGCCUACUUAUUUUAUUGUACUCUCCCAAUGCUUAGUGCAGUGCUCCGCGCCCAGUUGGGCACUCAGUAAAUACCACUGAGUGAGCUGGCAUUUCUCCAUCCUGGACUCGGUCCUUGAGAUUCGCAAGUUUCUGAACUGUGGGGCGACGAUAUCGGGCAGUCUCUCCCUCCUUCUCUCUCCCUCCUUCCUUCUUGGCUCUGUAGCGGUGGUUGUUUAUGGGAGUGUCUGUCUACACUCUGGCUGCAGGCAGAAGUUGUAUGCUUUUAGGCGAUGGCCUGGCCGCAAGAUGCGGGGCAGAGCAGUUGAUUAUGACCCAGGGGACAGGAGAUUACAUCAUUCUUCCAAAGCCAGCGGCUCAAAUCAAGAUUAGAAAGUUGCAUCCUGAUUCCAAAGGGUUUCUCUGGAUUUCUCUGUGGUCACCACCAUCUCUUCUCUCACUACAAAGGGAUCUGGGUGGGAGAGUAUUAAUUGUGGUAUUGGGUAAGCGCUUACUUCGUGCCAGGCAGAUACAAGAUAAUAGGGUUGGACAAAGUCUUUGUCUCAGAUAGGGCUCGCGGUCUUUAUCCCCAUUUUACAGAUGAGGUAACUGAAGCAGAGAGGAAGUGAAGUGACUGGCUCAAGGUCACACAGUAGACGAGUGGCAGAGCUGAGAUUAGAACACGGGUCCUAAUUAGAACCCAGAGUGGGGUGGAAAGAGGGUGGGGCGGGUAAAAAAGAGGAGGUCUCAGCCACAGAAUUGAGUGGGCGAAAUGGGUGUAUUUUUCUCUCAAAUGUUAAUCCCUAGCUAGAAUGUAAACUCCAUCAUGUCUAAUAGUAGGAUUUAUUGGUGCAGGGCAUUGUUCUAAACACUUAGAAAGAGGACAAAGAAGUGACCUAUAGGUUGCCUACAGGUUGCUUCCGCAUGAGAGGCAGCGUGGGUAAAGGCUGGGCCUGGGAGUCAGAAGGACUUGGGUUCUAAUCCCUGCUCUGCCACAUAUCUGCUGUGUGCCCUGGGGCAAGUAACUUCACUUCUCUGGGCCUCAGUUACCUUUUCUGGAAAACGGGGAUCGAGAGUGUGAGCCCAGUGGGGGGGCAGGGACCGUGUCCAACCUGAUUAACUUGUAUGUAACCUCAGCACUUGGAACAGUGCUUGGACACAGUAAGUGCUUAACAGUGACCAUAAUUAUUAUUAUUAUUCCACAUUAAUGGGAGAAGACAAACAUAUUUUACUAAUUCUACUGGGCUCUCCCGAGCACUCGAACACCAUCCAGUAGUCACUUGAUGAAUACUACCGCUUGUUAGGAGGAGGCGGCAGCUGAGGUUAUGGAGGGAGACGGGCUGUAAGAGGGGCGUUUCAGCUUUUCAUUGAAAAGCUUCACGGGCCUGCGAGUCAGAGGCCAUGGGUUCUAAUCCCGGCUCCACCACAUACCUGCUGUGUGACCUCGGGCAAGUCACUUAAACUGCUCUACGCCUCAUUCGCCUCUUGGGUAAAACGGGGAGUAAGACUGUCAUUGAGACCGUGUCCCACCCAAUUACCUUGUAUCAGUGUUACGGUCCCCGGCCCAUAAAACCAAAAGUGCCGUCCAAACUUCGUGAAACCCAGACCCACUCGAAAAGCCAGAUCCGCUCCUCGGGAUGUUGGACUAGGAUAAUCGGAAGUCUAAGAGGCGAAAGGAGAACGGACCGAGCCCAACCAGCAGCAAAACACGUCGCACCGGGGCCUCAACUGUGCAACUGUCUCCCACGCGUCAGUCCUUUUGGGCCCACUCAGAUCCGUAAGUAAAACUCACUGGCAGCGGUGCCGUGUUUGAAGAUGAAGGACAACCCGUAUGCACACAACACAAACGCACUCCCAGUCCCAGACCAACAACUGCACCACACAUCCCCUCGCACUGCUACGGCAAUAACAUGCAGACACACUCUCUGUAGCCACUGAUUUUCGUUUACUGAGCAGCAGAUUCUUUUGACCCACACAGCUUCCCACAGUGAUUGGCGAGACCUUGAGGAUACAAGAAAGGUUGUGCGUACUGAAUAGUUGAGCCAGGAGGAGGAGGGAGCGCGUGCCCACGGCGGGCGAGAAAUUAGGGCCAGCGAGAAGCUGACGUCUGCUCCGCUGAUCCAGAACAAUCACCCGAAUGCAGAGGAGAAUGCUACCCACCACCGUGCCCUGCUUCUGAAGAUCACUUCCCUCGUCAUUUAAAGCGGUCCGACGACGGGGCGGACGAUGGCUUCUUCUUCGUCAGCCUCAGGAGGCGUCUCCCGUCUCAAUCCUGUACCCAGAGACCCGGAGUUAGAGGGCGGCGUUAGGAACCUUAGGAAAAGUCUGCAACAGGUCAGUACCUUCCUCCCCAGGUCCGAGGGUCCUGCGUUGAUAGUAUUUGUUAAGGGCUGACUGUCCUAAGCGCUGGGGGACAUACAAGCUAAGCAGGUUGGACACGGUCCCUGUCCCACGUGGGGCUCACAUCUUCAUUCCCAUUUUGCAGAUGAGGUAACUGAGGCCUGGAGAAAUGAAAUGACUUGCCCUAGGUCACAUAGCAGACAAGCGGCAGAGCCGGGAUUAGAACCCAGGUCCUUCUGGCUCCCACGCCCAGGCUUUAGCCACGAGGCCAUGCUGCAGGGGGACACGGGAGCUCGGAGAGGGAAAGUGCUUAGCUGGGGUUUUCAUUCAUUCAUUCGUAUUUAUUGAGCGCUUAUUGUGUUCAAAGCACUGUACUAAGCACUUGGGAGAGUAAAAUACAACAACAGACAUAUUCCCUGCCCACAGCGAGCUCACGGUCAACGGGGCUCAGUGGAAAGAGCCGGGCUUGGGAGUCGGAGGUCAUGGGUUCAAAUCCCGGCUCUGCCACUUGUCAGCUGUGUGACUGUGGGCAAGUCACUUCACUGUGCCUCAGUGACCUCAUCUGUAAAAUGGGGAUUAACCGUGAGCCUCACAUGGGACAACCUGAUUACCCUGUAUCUACCCCAGCGCUUAGAACGGUGCUCUGCACGUAGUAAGCGCUUAACAAAUACCGACAUUAUUAGAGAGCCAGCCAGAACCGGACCAGCGCAAGAACUUCCAGCCCUUGAGCCUGCGAACUUCCAGCGGGAACCGGGAUGUCCGGAACUUCGAAGGGGAGGGGGGUGGAU
rnacentral:lncRNA from 1 species